rnacentral:rRNA from 1 species
UACGUAGGGGGCAAGCGUUAUCCGGAUUUACUGGGUGUAAAGGGAGCGUAGGUGGUUUCUUAAGUCAGAGGUGAAAGGCUACGGCUCAACCGUAGUAAGCCUUUGAAACUGGGGAACUUGAGUGCAGAAGAGGAGAGUGGAAUUCCUAGUGUAGCGGUGAAAUGCGUAGAUAUUAGGAGGAACACCAGUUGCGAAGGCGGCUCUCUGGACUGUAACUGACACUGAGGCACGAAAGCGUGGGGAGCAAACAGG